ACCCUUCUUCAGAAUAGCUCAGUUGGUAGAACAUCAAACUUUUAAUCUGAGGAUCCAGGGUUCAAGUCCCUGUUCGGGUG